UAGGGAAUCUUCGGCAAUGGACGAAAGUCUGACCGAGCAACGCCGCGUGAGUGAAGAAGGUUUUCGGAUCGUAAAACUCUGUUGUUAGAGAAGAACAAGGACGUUAGUAACUGAACGUCCCCUGACGGUAUCUAACCAGAAAGCCACGGCUAACUACGUGCCAGCAGCCGCGGUAAUACGUAGGUGGCAAGCGUUGUCCGGAUUUAUUGGGCGUAAAGCGAGCGCAGGCGGUUUCUUAAGUCUGAUGUGAAAGCCCCCGUCUCAACCGGGGAGGGUCAUUGGAAACUGGGAGACUUGAGUGCAGAAGAGGAGAGUGGAAUUCCAUGUGUAGCGGUGAAAUGCGUAGAGAUGUGGAGGAAUACCGGUGGCGAAGGCGGCCCCCUGGACAAAGACUGACGCUCAGGUGCGAAAGCGUGGGGAGCAAACAGG
rnacentral:rRNA from 1 species